UCCAGAAAACCAUAUUACUCCACUUUCUUUCCAAAGGAAAUUCAAGUCUGUUGAAAUGCUUGCUCUAAAACAGUUUCCAGUGAUAUUAAACAAAUUCGUGGCUCUCAGAAUACCUUGGGUGAUGAUCAAUAAGAGUUGUAUGUGCUUUACAUGCUGAUAAUCACACCUAACCCACAGCAUUUGUCUGAUGCCUAAGUGGGCUCAGAUUUGCCCAAGGCUCUGGUCCAAGGACCUCUGAGGGACACAGCCUCGUCACUCAGACAGGAGAGCCCAACUCAGUGACAAACAAAGGCCAAGGGAUUCUGCACAUGAAGACAAAACAGAGUCUUCCUUCUCAACUAGAGAAUGGCUUAUCUAAGAAAAAAAUCAACUGGAGAGAAAAAAAAAGUGAGGAUGUCAGCAUUUAACAGGAAUCUUGAAACUUUGACAGGAAGGGUGACCCUUUUCGGUCAAUCUGAAAUGUAUGCAGACAGGUCACAGAUAUAUUCCAAAUACAUUUUUUUAAUUGCUAAAUAUGUUUAAAGAAGAUUUUUAAAAUAAAACUCAAUGGACCAGUUUAUACACUGCAAAUUCAUUACAUUUUUCCAACCACGCAGAGCUAGGCUUAAACUCAACUAUACUGAAGGUUAAACUCAACUAUUACCAGUGUUAUUCUAUCCCAAAGAAUGAGCCAGGUCUAAGCUGAUGUUUCCUCCUGUUGUGACAAUAAGAACUUUCCCCAUUGUCUUCCACCUUUCCCCUUCUCGCUCCAUUUCCACCUCUCCAUCGCGCAGGGAAGGCAGAUUAGAGUUCACUAGAAACACAAUACCUGAAACAUAAAGGCCUCACACCUACCCGCCUAGGAGUACAGCUCAGAUGAUCUUUCUAAUAAGGAGUGGCAAUGGAGCUUGCAGGCCGAAGAAACUAUAACUUGGG
rnacentral:lncRNA from 1 species